UACGUAGGGGGCUAGCGUUGUCCGGAAUCAUUGGGCGUAAAGCGCGUGUAGGCGGCCCGAUAAGUCCGCUGUGAAAGUCCAGGGCUCAACCCUGGGAUGCCGGUGGAUACUGCCGGGCUAGAGUCCGGAAGAGGCGAGUGGAACUCCUGGUGUAGCGGUGGAAUGCGCAGAUAUCAGGAAGAACACCAACGGCGAAGGCAGCUCGCUGGGACGGAACUGACGCUAAGGCGCGAAAGCGUGGGGAGCGAACAGG
rnacentral:rRNA from 1 species